rnacentral:pre_miRNA from 1 species
UUGACAGAAGAGAGUGAGCACACAGAGGACUUUAGCAUAAGAGUAUGCUAUUGCUUUUGCGUGCUCGCUACUCUUUCUGUCAG